CCUACGGGUGGCAGCAGUGAGGAAUAUUGGUCAAUGGACGAGAGUCUGAACCAGCCAAGUAGCGUGAAGGAUGACUGCCCUAUGGGUUGUAAACUUCUUUUAUAAAGGAAUAAAACGAGGCACGUGUGCCCUUUUGCAUGUACUCUAUGAAUAAGGAUCGGCUAACUCCGUGCCAGCAGCCGCGGUAAUACGGAGGAUCCGAGCGUUAUCCGGAUUUAUUGGGUUUAAAGGGAGCGUAGAUGGGUUGUUAAGUCAGUUGUGAAAGUUUGCGGCUCAACCGUAAAAUUGCAAUUGAUACUGGCAGUCUUGAGUGCAGUUGAGGUAGGCGGAAUGCGUGGUGUAGCGGUGAAAUGCUUAGAUAUCACGAAGAACCCCGAUUGCGAAGGCAGCUUACUAAGCUGUGACUGACAUUGAUGCUCGAAAGUGUGGGUAUCAAACAGGAUUAGAUACCCGGGUAGUC
rnacentral:rRNA from 1 species